UACAGAGGGGGCAAGCGUUAUUCGGAAUUAUUGGGCGUAAAGGGCGCGUAGGCGGCUUGGCAAGUGGAAGGUGAAAUCCCUCGGCUUAACCGAGGAACUGCCCUCCAAACUGCUUUGCUUGGGGCCGGGAGAGGCGAGUGGAAUUCCCAGUGUAGCGGUGAAAUGCGUAGAUAUUGGGAGGAACACCUGUGGCGAAAGCGGCUCACUGGACCACAACUGACGCUGAGGCGCGAAAGCUAGGGGAGCAAACAGG
rnacentral:rRNA from 1 species